GCUGACCUGGACAUUAGGGGUCAUCUUCUGAACAAACUAGUGCUUGAGGGAGGUAUUUGGGGUUUUUGUUUGUUUAAUGGAUCUGAAUGAGUUCCAGAGACUGGCUACACAGCGAUAUGACUGAGCUUAACACCCCUAAAGCAUACAGUCAGACCAAUUAGACAAUAAAAGGUAUGUAUAGCUUACCAAAUAAAAAAAUUGUAUUUUCAAGAGAGUGUCUGUCUGUGUAGCCCUGGCUGUUCUUGAACUCACUCUGUAGACCAGGCUGGCCUGGAAAUCCAUCUGCCUGCCUCUGCCUCUCUGCCUCUCUGCCUCUCUGCCUCUCUCUCUGCCUCUCUCUGCCUCUCUCUGCCCCUCUCUGCCCCUCUCUGCCCCUCUCUGCCCCUCUCUGCCGCCCUCUGCCUUCUGCCCUCUGCCCUCUGGCCUCUGGCCUCUGCCCUCUGCCCUCUGGCCUCUGGCCUCUGCCUCUGCCUCUUGAGUGCUGGAAUCAAAGGUGUGAGCUCUGUAGGUCUUAAGUUCCAGAAGAAAGUAAUGAAGUCACCCAGCAGGGAGGUGCUCAGGGACAGCACAGACACACACCCAGGACAUAGGCUCCCACUUCCUUGGCUUUCUCUGAGUGGCAAAGGACCUUAGGCAGUGUCACUCCCUAAGAGAAGGGGAUAAAGAGAGGGGCUGAGGUAUUCAUCAUGUGCUCCGUGGAUCUCAAGCCCUCAAGGUAAAUGGGGACCCACCUGUCCUACCAGCUGGCUGACCUGUAGCUUUCCCCACCACAGAAUCCAAGUCGGAACUCUUGGCACCAUGAACCCAGCCAUCAGCGUCGCUCUCCUGCUCUCAGGUACUGGGCAAGGGUCAGGGCUGGCAUUCUAAGGAAUCUGGCUUCCUCCCAUCCCGGGAAGUAGCCUCUUUGCCAUAGUCUCAGGGGCACAGGUGGUUGGGAGGUGCGGGGGUGGGGAGUGGGGAGGAGCCUCAACCUCACCAGUGGUGGUCUUUGACAUAUUAGAAACUCCAUAAUGGAUCUAGGAACUCCUCUUGCUGGGUGGUGGUGGUUGUGGUACACACCUUUAAUCUCAGCACUCAGGAGGCAGAGUCAGGUGGAUCUGUUAGUCUGAAGCCAGCCUGGUCUACAGAGCAAAUUCCAGGACAGCCAGAGCUAUUCUCAAGAUAGAGAAUCCCUUUCUUGAAAAAACCAUUU
rnacentral:lncRNA from 1 species